ensembl:lncRNA
CAAAGUGCAUUACAAGUGUUUAAUGACAAGAUGCAUGCAGUACACUCCAUGGUUAUUCAAAAGAAAUGAAUCCAUUUCAUAAUUCAUAGCUCAACGAGUGAUUUGUUUACAUACCUCUUACUGCAUUGCACACCUUGUAGGAGGCAAAAGCCAGCUUCUUCCCUCCUCUGCCAAGCCAGUUGAAUUUCAGCGCGAAGUGGUUGGUGAGGAUGUGGCGAAGGAUUCUUCGAACCGCGUCACCAGGAUUGCAGCCCCCAAGCGCACUAAGGUGUGCUGCCUGCAGGGUGCUCCUGGUUUGGGCUUUUUUCAGGUUCAUACGCGCUGCAUCAUAAUUGGCUGUUGAAGACAACAAUGAAGUGGACCAAGAUGUUGUCAGUAUGAUGGAUGAGGAAACCCUGUC